GACGAACGCUGGCGGCGUGCUUAACACAUGCAAGUCGAGCGGUAAGGCCCUUUCGGGGGUACACGAGCGGCGAACGGGUGAGUAACACGUGGGUGACCUGCCCUCAGCUCUGGGAUAAGCCUGGGAAACCGGGUCUAAUACCGGAUAUGACUCCAUGACGCAUGUUGUGGGGUGGAAAGCCUUGUGCGGCUGAGGAUGGGCCCGCGGCCUAUCAGCUUGUUGGUGGGGUGAUGGCCUACCAAGGCGACGACGGGUAGCCGGCCUGAGAGGGCGACCGGCCACACUGGGACUGAGACACGGCCCAGACUCCUACGGGAGGCGAGCAGGUGGGGUAAUUUUGCGCAAGUGGGCGAAAGCCUGACGCAGCGACGCCGCGUGA
rnacentral:rRNA from 1 species